GUAUUGUAUUGCGUUAAACGCGGCAUGCAUUCCAUUAGACUUUAUCACGGCGUGAGUGUAAAGAUGCAGAACCACAGCAGGAGGACAGGUCCCCCCAACCACAGAACUACAGAGGGUGCACAGGGUGUGAGUGGAUGUGUUAACAGAGCGUGCACAUGCCCCCGUUUGAGGACCAGCAACAACUCUUGUUGACAAUUCGGUAAUGAUCCUUCCGCAGGUUCACCUACGGAAA
rnacentral:misc_RNA from 1 species